rnacentral:tRNA from 1 species
UGGCUCAGAGGUUAAGAGCACUGGCUCCUCUUCCAGAGGUCCUGAGUUCAAUUCUCAG